rnacentral:lncRNA from 1 species
AGACACCCAAAUCAGAAAGCUAAGGAACAAGGAAAUCCUGAUGGUGAAAGUCCUUUGGAAUCACCACAACAUCGAGGAAUGUACCUGGGAGACACGGGAGUCCAUGCUCCAGCAGUAUCCUCAUCUCUUCUAAGGUGAAUGUUAUGUGUUUUGUAUGUAUGUUCAUGUUUUAUGCUAUGCAUGUAUUGUUUGCUGAAUAUUCGGGGACGAAUGUUCUAAAGGGGGGAGAAUGUAAUACCCGGCUAGACUCCGGUAUCGGAAUUCCUACCGUCCGGUGGAAUCUCGGAUGUCGGAAACCUCUAGAAGGGUAAAAUCAUGUUUUUAUAAAAUGUUUUAAUGUAUUUGAAGGUUUUAAGUAAGAAAGAAAUUGAGUUUUGAAUGAAAAAGACCGUAGAGGGAAAUCCAGGUUCGGCCGCCGAACAUGCAUGAGUUUUGGAGGCACCUUAGGCUUCUGAAGGUGGCCUGGCCAGCCCCUAUAAGAAGCCCCAUGGCUGAAAAUGGGCGAGUUUCUCCCCCAUUUCCGGCCAAAGGUGAGUCCAUGCCUUCCCAUGGUUGAUUUUGCUGAUUUUCCUCAAAUCUUUCGAGUUUUAACAAGCGUUUACUUGGUUUUGAAGAAUUUUGAGCUUAGGACAAGUUUUUGGAGCUUGGAGACCCAAGGAGCUAGAUCUCUCCCAUCUCCGAGUUGGAUUGCCUCUCCUCUCGAUCUUCAAGAGGUAAGAGUAGAUCCUCACCUCUUUUCAUGUUUUGGUUAAGUUUCAUGAAGAUUCAUGGGGUAGAAAUGCAUGAUUAGUUUAGUUGUUUAGUGUUAAGGCAUAUGUGCUUGUAUGGUUAAUGUUUGUUGUAUAUGUAUGUUUGAUGUGUUUGUGUUGGAGUUUAGGAUAAUUUUAGACCCCUAUAUGCUUAUUUGCUUGAGUAUGCAUGUUGUAGAAUAGCUAAAUGCAUGUUUGAAUGGUUUGGGAGGCAAAGUGUGCAUGAAGAGGCUGAGUUCUGCCCUUGGGAAGAACUCAGGUUCGGCAGCUGAAGGACUUUCGGCCGCCGAACCUGCCUGUGGAGGCAAGCUUUCGGCUGCCGAACCCUGCCCCCAAAAGUUGGACUUUCGGCUCUGGAAGGGAGUUUCGGCCACCGAAGGUGCCGUAGAACAUGCACGAGUUUCGGAUCUGGAAGGAACCUUCAGGCGCCGCAAGUGCCACCGAAGGUGCAUGACUUUCAGCAUUGGAGGGACUUUCGGCCGCCGAACCUACCACCGAAAGUGCCCUGUUCAGCCUUCCUUUGCAUGAUUUCUAUGAAUGUUUUAAGGUGUUUUAGGGGGUUUUUGGGGAGUAUUUUAGAGUCAUGUUCAUGUAUGUUUGGUCCCUCAUUUAAGUCCACCUGUGUAGGUUCGGACCCAAGGAACCAGGGACCCCAGCAGUGAGACAGCUGCUUCAGUGUCUUUUCAGAGCUAGCCUGAGGUGAGUAGAAUGACUCUUUAUGUUUCAAAGCAAAUAAUGAAAGUUUUAGCAUGAUUCACGCAUCAUGAAUGCCAUGAGAUAUAUUAGGUUGUUUGCAUUAGAAUUCACGAAUAUGUUGCAUUGCAUAUUAUGUUGUUGAUGUGGAUGAACGUUGAAUGAUCCAUUAGCCCUCGUAUGGUAUGAUGUGAUAUGAUGAUGAUACCGUGGAAGUCCAGGAAGACCCAUUCUACGUCCCUGGCAUAUUGGAAUGUUAUGACAUGUUAUGUAAGGGAAAGACCAGGACCCAUUCUACGUUCUGGCUCCAUUGGAAAUGUAGAGGGCUAUUGGUGAAAAGUUCAUCUUUAAUGUGAAUUGUUUGUGAUGUGAUGCAUUUCAUGAAAGCAUGAAUUUUUUAAUAUAAUGUUUUUAUUAUUCUGCUCACUAGGCUCUAGUAGCUCACCCCAUUGCCUUAAUCCCCCAGGUUUGCAGGUACGGGAUAGACCAGGAUGUUAGCAAGAGUAAAGUCAUGUUUUAUGUAAUAGCUAGUUGUGGACAUGAGAAAGACAAUGUAAUAUAAAGUAUAGUAAUGUAAUGUAAUGUAACGAUGUAUAUCGAGGUUUAGAGUUGUGCUUGACCCUAGUAUGUAAAGUAAAUCUCUUUUGCACAUGAUCUGUGAAAUGUUUUAUUGAUGACUUACAUAAACCAAGCUUAAUGUAUGAUAUGUUACCCUAUUGGAGCAUUUGAUGAGGGCUCCAAUGUGGGGUUUUAUGUUUAUGAGUUGUGCAUGCACAGGUUAAGCUUGGUAAAUGAAAGAGAAAGUUUAAAAUUUUUAUGUAUAUGUUUGAUCAUGUAUGGGAUUUAACAGGUAUACAGAAUGCAUGUUAGGCUUGCUAUGGGUCCCGGCGGCCUUAUGCCGAUCUAGAUCCUAGCGCCGGUCGCGGUCUGAUUUCCGAGUCGUUACAAUAGAUCUGAGAUCCGGGUACCACCAACUGAGAAUAAGAGAAGAAGAUGUGCCGAAGACGGCAUUCAGGACCAGAUAUGGGCAUUAUGAGUUCCUAGUAAUGCCGUUCGGGCUAACCAAUGCCCCUGCAGCAUUCAUGGACCUCAUGAACAGAGUGUUUAGCCAGUAUCUAGAUCACUUUGUUAUUUUCUUCAUUGAUGAUAUCUUAGUGUAUUACAGAAAUGCAGAGGAGCAUGCCCAUCAUCUGAGGUUAGUUCUGCAGACCCUGAGGGAGCACGGCUUGUAUGCCAAGUUCUCCAAGUGUGAAUUCUGGUUGAGGAGCAUCUCAUUCUUAGGGCAUGUUGUAUUAGAAAAUGAAAUUGUAGUGGACCCCAAGAAGGUAGAAGCUGUAGCUAACUGGCCCAGACCCACCACAGUUACAAAGAUCAAGAGCUUUUUGGGUUUGGCAGGUUACUACAGGAGGUUCAUUCAGGACUUCUCUAAAAUUGCCGCUCCUAUGACUAGAUUGACUAAGAAGAAUCCGAGGUUUGUGUGGUCUGAUCAGUGUGAGGAAAGCUUUGAAGAGCUGAAGAAAAUGUUGACGUCAGCACCGGUGUUAGCUCUGCCUACUAGUAAUGAAGGCUUCACAGUGUUUUGUGAUGCGUCCCGUGUGGGACUGGGUUGUGUGUUAAUGCAAAAUGAGAGGGUAAUUGCUUAUGCUUCUAGGCAGCAAAAGAAGCAUGCAUUGAAUUAUCCUACACAUGACCUAGAGAUGGCAGUUGUGAUCUUUGCACUCAAGAUGUGGAGGCAUUACCUUUAUGGGGUAAAGUGUGAGAUCUUCACAGAUCAUAAGAGCUUGCAGUACAUCUUGAGUCAGAGAGAGUUAAAUCUGAGGCAGAGGAGAUGGGUGGAACUGCUUAGUGACUAUGAUUGCAAAAUUCAGUACCAUCCGGGUAAGGCAAAUGUCGUGGCAUAUGCCCUAAGCCGGAAGUCACUUAGCAGUUUAUCCCAUAUUACAGCAGAGAGAAGACCGGUGGUGAGGGAGUUCUACAAGCUCAUUGAAGAAGGGCUGCAGUUAGAGUUGUAUGGUACAGGUGCUUUGAUAGCCCAGAUGAGGGUGACGCCCGUGUUUCUGGAGCAGAUGGCUCAGAAAUAGCAUGAGGACCCUGAGUUGGUGAAGAUAGCAAGAGCAGUCCAAGCAGGCAAGAAUGAAGAGUUCAGAUUUGACAUCAAGAGGAUCCUCCGCUAUGGGAGUAGAUUAUGUGUACCAGAUGACGUGAGUCUGAAAGGUGACAUUAUGAGGGAAGCUCAUAAUGUUAGAUACAGUGUUCAUCCUGGAGCCACCAAGAUGUAUCAAGACCUGAAAAGAGUUUAUUGGUGGCCAACUAUGAAGAGAGAAGUGGCACAGUUUGUGUCCGCCUGCGAAGUAUGUCAGAGGGUGAAGCUAGAACAUCAGAAGCUGGCUGGAAUGCUUAACCCACUGCCGAUUCUAGAGUGGAAAUGGGAGAAUAUAGCUAUGGAUUUCGUGGUGGGGUUACCGGCAACGUCCAACAGAUUAGACUCCAUAUGGGUGAUUGUGGACAGACUGACCAAAUCUACUCACUUCAUCCCUGUCAGGAGUGGCUACUCUAUGGAUAAAUUGGCGCAGGUGUUUGUUGAUGAAGUGGUCAGGCUGCAUGGGGCUCCUGUUCCAAUAGUGUCUGAUAGAGGACCCCAGUUCACCUCCAGGUUUUGGUAGAGUCUGCAGAAUGCUAUGGGUACCAGGUUAGAUUUUAGCACUGCCUUCCACCCACAGACUGACGGACAGUCAGAGAGGACCAUCCAAACAAUUGAAGAUAUGCUCAGAAUGUGUGUGCUAGAUUUUGGCGGUUCUUGGAGGCAGCAUCUACCUUUGGUGGAGUUUGCCUACAAUAACAGCUGUCAUGCUAGCAUCGGGAUGGCUCCUUAUGAAGCUUUGUAUGGAAGGAAGUGCAGGUCACCUGUCUGCUGGGAAGAAGUGGGAGAAAGGGCCUUGGCAGGGCCUGAGCUAGUAGAGAUCACCAGCAGAGUAGUGCCCAUUAUUAGAGAAAGAAUCAGAACUGCUACGAGCAGGCAAAAGAGCUAUGCAGAUGUCCGCAGGAAGCAUGUAGAGUUUUAGGAGGGAGAUAUGGUGUUGCUCAAGGUGUCUCCUAUGAAAGGGGUGAUUCGCUUUGGGAAGAAAGGUAAGCUAGCUCCACGGUACAUCGGACCCUUUGAAAUCUUGCAAAAGAUUGGAAAUGUAUCGUACAAGCUGGACUGUAACGACCCGGAAAUCGGACCGCUACCGGCGCUAGGAUCCAGAUCGGCUUAAGGCCGCCGGGACCCGUAGCAAGCUUGACAUGUAACCUGUAAACCUAUUUAAUCCCAUACAUGAUCAACAACAUACAUAAAAAUUAAAACUUUUCUUUCAUACAUUCUAUCAUACACCAAACUCAACCUGUGCAUGCACUGAACAUAGUCAUAAUCAUAAACUUGACCCCUCUGUGGGAUCUCAUCAAUGCCCCCAAAAGGGUGGCAUAACAUGCGUUGAGUUGGUUUACAUCUACAUCAUCAAACAUCUAAGAUCAUGUAUUAAAAGGGAUAACAACAUCCAUAGGGUCAAGCACAACUUCUAAUCCUCAAUAUCAUUAUACAUAACAUGACUAUUCAAACUUUACAUCAUCUUACAAUUUGUCAUGUCCACUUUCUAUCUAUUACAAACACAUGACUUUACUCUUCUUGACUUCUCUGUCUAGCCCGUACCUGUAAUCCUGGGGGAUUAGGGAAAAGGGGUGAGCUACUAGAGCCCAGUGAGCAGAAUAAUAGAAAACAACAUUUAAAAUCUCAUGCCAUCAUGUAAUGCAACACAUCACAACAAAUCACAUCUCGGAUGGUAUUGUCACCAAUAGUCCUCUACAUUCCAAAGUGUCGGGACGUAGAAUGGGUACAACCGGUCUUUCUCUUGACAUAACUUAUCAUAACAUUCCAAUGUGCCAGAGACGUAGAAUGGGUACAACCUGGACUUUCUCUUACAUAGUGCCAGGGACGUAGAAUGGGUACAACCUGGACUUCCAUACCAUAUCAUGCCGUGACAUCAUCAUACCAUAUGAGGACUAAAGGAUCAUCCAAUAACCAAUCCACAUCAACAUCAUAAAUGCAAUGCAACAUAUUCGUGAAUUCUAAUGCCAACAACCUAAUUCAUCACAUGGCAUUCAUGAUGCAUGAACAUGCUAAAAAAAACUUUAUAAUUUAUUUGCUUAAAAUCGUAAAGGUUUAUUCUACUCACCUCUGGCUGAAGCUCUACUGACUCAGAAGCAGCUGAACUCACUGCUGGGGUCCUCGGUUCCUCGGGUCCGAACCUACACAGAUGGACUCAAAUGAGGGACCAAACAACUAGAACAUAACUCUAAAAAACAUCCCCCAAAAAUCCCCCUAAACACCUCAAAACAAUCAUGCAAAAACAUGCAAAGGAAGGCUGAACAGAGCAGGUUCGGCGGCACCUUCGGCUGCCGAAAGUCCCUUCAGAGCCGAAAUCCAGGCAGGUUCGGCGGCACCUUCGGCGGCCGAAAGUCCCAGACAGAGACGAAAGUCUCUUUUCGGGGGCAGGCUUCGGCAGCCAAAAGGCUUGCCUCCCCAGCCAUGUUCGGCGGCCGAAAGUCCUUCGGCUGCCGAACCUGGUUUCUGCCAAAGGGCAGAAACUUGGCUCCUCUAUGCACAUUUGCCUCCAAAACUUCCAAUCAUGCAUAAACCUAUUCUACAACACACAUACAGAAGCAUACAAGCUCCUAGGGGCUUCAAACUAUCUUAGACCCCAUCUACAACACAUCAAACAACACAAAUCCAACAUACAUUGCCCAUAAACCAACAUAAACCCAAAAACUCAUAAAACCCUACAUAUGCAUUUCUACUUCAAUAAUCAACUUAAAACUUGUUAGAAACAUGUAGUGAGCUCAAGAUCGGCCCUUACCUCUUGUAGAUCGAGAGGAAAAUGACCUUAGCUCGGAGAUGGGAGAGAUUUGAGUUCUUGAACCUCAAAGCUCCAAAACUUGCUUUAAACUCAAAAAUCUUCAAAACAAGAUGAAAACUCAUAAGAAAAACAUGAAAUCUCGAAGGGAGAAGCUCAAAACAGAGGAGGGGCGGUGGAGAACUCACCUUGGCCGAAAACGGGAAGAAAAGCUUUCCCCGUUUCGGCCAUGGGGUCCUUUUAUAGGGCUGUCCUUACCACCUUUCGGCGGCCUAACGUGCCCCCACAGAGCAUGCAAGUUCGGCGGCCGAACAUGAGGUUCGGCGGCCGAACCUUGGCUGAUUUAAACAAGGCUUUCGGAGGCCUAAAGCGCUCCCAAAACCUCCCCACGUUCAGCGGCCGAACAUGACUUUCGGCGGCCGAACCUGGCAAAGUCUCCAAGGCCCUCUCCACUCAAAACUUGGAUUUAUUUUCAUUAAAAACCAUAAAAUACUUCAAAACAUUUUAAGAAAACAUGGUUUUACCCUUCUAAAGGUCUCCGACAUCCAAGAUUCCACCGGACGGUAGGAAUUCUGAUACCGGAGUCUAGCCGGGUAUUACAUGGACCUACCUGCUUCAAUGGAGAGAAUCCAUUCGGUUUUCCAUGUUUCCAUGUUACAGAAGUUCGUGUCAGAUCCGGGCAAGGUUCUUAGUGAGCCUGAUGUGGAGAUCCUAGGAGAUCUCACCUAUGUUGAGCAGCCAGUACGGAUUCUGGACACGCAGAUUAGAAAGUUGAGGAACAAGGAAAUCCCGAUGGUGAAAGUCCUUUGGAAUCACUAUAAUGUAGAAGAAUGUACUUAGGAGACACGGGAGUCCAUGCUCCAGCGAUACCCUUAUCUCUUUUAAGGUGAGAGUUGUUGUUUUAUGUGUUUUUAUGUGUUUAUAUGUGUUAUGCUAUGUUAUACUUGUUUGGUGAACAUUCGGGGACGAAUGUUCUUAAGGGGAGGAGAAUGUAAUACCCGGCUAGACCCCGGCAUCGGAAUUCCUGCUUUUCGGCGGAAUCUCGAAUGUCGAAACCCUUUAGAAGGGUAAAAUCAUGUUUUUCUAAAAUGUUUUCAUGUGUUUUAAGGUUUUAAGUAAGAAAGAAAUUGAGUUUUGAAAGAAAAGACCAAGGUUGGAAAAGCCAGGUUCGGCCGCCGAAUCCCAUGUUCGGCCGCCGAACCCCAUGUUCGGCCCCCGAUCGUUGGUGACUUGCGGGAGCUCUUUUGGCCUCCGAAGGUGGUCUGGCCAGCCACCUAUAAAAGGCCCCUUGUCCGAAAAUGGACGAGUUUUCUCUCUCUAUUUUCAGGCAAAGGUGAGAUUUCGCCUUCCUUUGCUUGAUUUUGAGUUUUUCCCUCAAUCUCUUCAAGUUUUAACAAGUUUUAACUUGGUUUUGAAGAUUUUGAGCUAAAGAUCAAGGUUUUGAAGCUUGGAGACCCCCGGAGCUCGAUUUCUCCAAAAUCUCCAAGUUCGGAUCACCCUCCUCUCGAUCUUCAAGAGGUAAGUGCAAAUCCUAUCUUCUCUUAUGUUUUUAAGUAAGUUUUAAGAAGGGUUAAGGGGUUUUGAUGCAUGCUUUAGAGUAGAUGUAAAUGUUAGGGUUUAUGUUAGUUUUAUGCUCAAAUGUAUGCUAUGUUGAUGUUUGUUGGAGUUUAGGCUAGUUUUAUGCCCCUAUAUGCUUGAGAAUGUGUUUAUGCAUGUUUUUGCAUGAGUUGGUUUGAGUUGAGAGGUUUGGGGUGGCUGGAUGUGCUUGUGAGGCUUGGGUUCUGCCCUUUGGAAGAGCCCAGGUUCGGCCGCCGAAGCCAGUUUCGGCCCCCAAACCUGCCUGGAGGCAGCUUUAGGCCGCCUAAACUUGCCCUCGAAAGUUUGGACUUUCGGCUCUGGAGGGGAGUUUCGGCCGUCGAACCUGCCCCCGAAAGUGCCUGAGUUUCGACUCUGGACAAACUUUCGGCCGCCGAACCCUGCCCCCAAAAGUGCAUGACUUUCGGCUCUGGAGGGACUUUCGGCUCUGGAGGGACUUUCGGCUCCGAACCUGCCGCCGAAAGUGCCCUGUUCAGCCUUCCUUUGCAUGUUUUCCAUGAAUGUUUUAUGAUGUUUUAGGGGGUUUUUGGGGAGAUGUUUAGAGUCAUGUUAGUAUAUGUUUGGUCCCUCAUUUGAGUCUACCUGUGUAGGUUCGGACCCCAGAAACCGAGGACCCCAGCAGUGAGAUAGCUGCUUCAGAGUCAGUCCAGUAUCUACCAGAGGUGAGUAGAACAUAACUUCUUUUAUUUUCAAAGCAAUGAGAUCCUUUUUAGCACGAUCCAUGCAUCACGAAUGCCAUGAUAUGUAUUAGGUUGUUUUGCAUUAGAAUUCACGAAUAUGAUGCAUUGCAUUAAUUAUUGUUGAUGUGGAUGGAUUUUGGAUGAACCAUUAGCCCUCAGUAUGAUAAGGAAGUUCAGGGUUGCCCAUGCCACGCGUCCUGGCAUAGUGUAAGAAAGUCCAGGGCUGCCCAUGCCACGCGUCCUGGCAAUUUGUUAUGAUAAUGAGGAAAUAGGGGGUUAUUGGUGACAAAUCCAUCCGUGAUGUGAAUUGUUUGUGAUGUGAUGCAUUUCAUGAUGGCAUAUCUAUAUAAAUUGUUUUAUAUGUUCUACUCACUGGGCUCUAGUAGUUCACCCUUUCCCUUAACCCCCAGGUUUGUAGGUUCGGGGUAGACUAGGAAGUCAGCAAGAGUAAAAGUGUUAUGUAUGUAAUAGUUUAGUUGUGGACAUGAAAGACAAUGAAAUGUAUGUAUUGUCAGAUAUUGUAUAGUUUUGUAUUGAGGAUUAAUAUUGUGCUUGACCCUAGAGUGUUUGGUUAAUCCCUUUUGAUAAAUGAUCUUUAUGUAAUGUUUUAUUAAUGUGUUGUUAACCAAGCUUGAUGUAUGUAAUGUUGACCCAACUAGAGCAUUUGAUGAGGGCUCUAGUGUGGGAUUUUGAUGUAUUCAGUUUCAGUGCAUGCACCGGUCGAGCUUGGUAAAUGGAAAAUUUAAAGUUUUUACGUAAAUGUAUAAUCAUGUAUGGGAUUUAUUAGGUAUGACAGGUUGUAUGUUAGGCUUGCUACGGGUCCUGGCGAUCUUAAGUCGAUCUGGAUCCUAGCGCUGGUAGCGGUCCGAUUUCGGGUCGUUACAAGGGCGACAAGAAGGGGGGGCAGCGGCUGAAUAUGGAGAGAAGAAGAGGAAGAGAGAAUAUGAUGCCUAGGUUAAUUCUUUGGCAACCUUUAUAUAGCCUUUUCCCCUACAAAAAGAUAAAUAUUCAUAAUUUAAAAUAAACUCUACUAUUCCUAUCUUAUCCCUAUCCUAAUCUGAUUGUGUUUGCUCCAAUUUGAAGUUGAUAUUAUCCUUGUACAGUUGGAAAGAUCGGGCUAAGGUGACAUUUUUUAAAAUCUAGAGCUACCCAUUGUGUUGGGCUACAGGCUUGCCCAAGGCUGUAACCCACCCAGUUUGAAAAUCUUCCAAUUCAGCCUCUUUUUGUUUCUUUUCUUAACUUCCGCUCAAAAAUCAAUCCAAAAUUAAAUUCCAAGUAAAAAAUUAAUUAUUUAUAUCGAAAUCAUAGCAAAAUCAUGGAAUUUAAUAAGGAAAAAGUGGUGAGUUUUGCAACUCAUCAAAGGGACACUUUAAGAAGAAUUGCCUUAAACCUGAGAAGAAGAAAGGCCAAAAGAACAAGUCUGAUGAUGAUGAUGCUUCUGUAUAUUCAGUAGAUGAAAUUGGUGAUGCAUUAAUUCUUAGUGUGGACAGUCCGAUUAACUCAUGGAUACUUGAUUCGGGUGCAUCAUUCCAUUCUUUUUCGAGCAGACAGUUAUUCUAUAAUUUCAAGUCUGAAAAGUAUGGGAAGGUGUAUCUUGAUGAUAAUAAAGCCUUGGAGAUUGCUGAAAAGGGGAAUAUGUGUAUCCAAACCUUAGGUGGGGAUAAGUGAAAGCUGCAGGAUAUGAAGUAUAUUCCUGACUUGAAGAAAAAUCUUAUCUCUAUUGGCCAGCUGGAAAGUACGGGUUAUAGAACAGUGUUCAGGGAGAGUUCUUGAAAAAUUGUGAAAGGAGUUAUAGUGAUAGCAUGGGGCACAAAAUAUGGAACCUUAUACACUACUGUAGGGUGUUUGAACGUGGUUGUUGCAGUUGACAGUACAUCGAGCUCAAGUCUGUGGCAUAACAAACUUAGACACAUGAGUGAGAAGGGGAUGAAAAUGCUAGCUUCGAAGGGGUAUCUGCAAGGGUUGCAAUCUGUUGAUAUAGAUCUAUGUAAGAGUUGUGUUAUGGGAAAGCAGAAACUGAUCAAUUUCACAAAGGCUACUAGAGAACCAAAGGAAGAACGGUUAUAACUAGUACAUAUAGACAUGUGGGGGCCAUCCCCAAUUUUUCUCUCUUGGUGGUUCAAGAUACUAUGUUACCUUCAUUGAUGACAUUAGUAGGAAGGUACGGGUGUACUUUCUUAAACACAAAUAAGAUGUGUUUACCACUUUUAAGACAUGGAAGGUUGAAGUUGAAAAUCACAUUGGGUUGAAUAUCAAAUGCCUAAGGUCUGAUAAUGGAGGAGAGUAUGAUUCUACAAAAUUCAAGAAGUUCUAUGCUAAUGAGGAAAUCAAGUAUAACAGGAUAGUUCCUGGCAAAGCAAGAUAGAAUGGAAUUAUUGAAAGGAUGAACAAAACAUUGAAUGAGCGAGUAAGAAGCAUGAGGCUACAUGUUGGGCUGCCAAAAAUGUUUUGGGCAGAUGCAGUGAGCACAUAAGCAUAUUUGAUAGAUAGAGGAGCUUCAAUUCCCUUGAGUUUCAACAUUCCAGAAGAAUUUUGAUUGGGUAAAGAGGUUAAUUUUACUCACCUGCGGACUUUUGGGUGUGCUGCCUAUGUUCACAUUGAUCCAGAAAAGAGAGACAAACUUGAUGCAAAGGCUUUGAAGUGUUACUUCAUUGGGUAUGGUUUGGAUGACUUUGCAUACAAAUUUUGGGAUGACAGGAACAGAAAGAUCUUGAGACACUUUGAUGUGACAUUUGAUGAGAAUGUCCUAUAUAAGGACAAGUCUAGGGUACGAUAUGAAGAUGUAGAAGAAGUGGAAGCUGAGGUUGAGUUGCAAGAAAUUUCACCUAGUGAUGUUGCAAUAAGAUCACAGGAGAAUCCAGAAAACACUAUUGCAGAACCAAAACAGUAGCCAGUCACACAUGCACCAGUGUUGAGGAAAUCUAUCAGGGCUUCCAAGUCAUUAGAAAGGUAUUCACCUUCCUUGUAUUAUUUAUUGUUAACUGAUGGAGGGAAACCAGAAUCCUUUGAUGAGGCUUUGUAGGUGAAGGAUUCAAUCAAGUGGAAGCAAGCCAUGGAUAAUGAGAUAUGGUCACUUGAGAAGAAUGAUACUUGGAAAUUAACUGAGUUGCCUGCAGGGAAGAAAACUUUGUUGAACAAGUGGACUUAUAGGAUCAAGAAUGAAAUUGAUGGUAAAGUUAGGUUCAAGGCUCAAUUGGUGUUUAAAGGGUUCACAAAGAAAAUAUAUUGAUUACACUGAAAUAUUCUUUUCUGUUGUGAAGUUAAUCACAAUUAGAAUUUUGCUGAGUAUUGGUGUAGCAGAGAACUUUCACGUUGAGCAGAUGGAUGUAAAAAUAAUAUUUUUACAUAGGGAUCUAGAGAAAGAGAUCUACAUGCAACAACCAUAGGGAUAUGAGAUUCCUGGUAAGGAACACAUGGUGUGCAAGCUCAAGAAGAGUUUGUAUGGGUUGAAGUAGGCCCAAGACAGUAGUAUAAGGAGUUUGACUCUUUCAUGUGCAGAAACAGUUUUCACAGGAUUAAAAAGGAUUAGUGUUGUUAUAUGAAGAAUUUUAGUGACUUUUUUGUUAUUUUACUCUUUUAUGUGGAUAAUAUGUUGAUUGCAGGGGCAAGUAUGGAGGAAAUUAAUAAUCUUAAGGGAAGAUUGUCAUUAGAGUUUGAGAUGAAAGAUUUGGGUGCAGCAAAGCAGAUUCUAAGGAUGAGGAUUUCUCAGGACAAGUCUGUUGGAAUUCUAAAUUUAUUCCAGGAGCAAUACAUUAAGAAGGUAUUAUUCAGGCUCAGAAUUGAUGAUGCUAAGCCCAGGAGCACACCUUUGGCUAACCAUCUCAAAUUGUCAAAGGAGCAAUCACCCAAGAUAGCUAUGGAGUGUAAUCACAUGGCAAAAGUACCUUAUGCUUCUGCAGUUGGGAGUUAGAUGUAUGCUAUGAUCUGCAGUAGACCUAAUAUAGUACAUGCAGUAGGAGCUGUGAGCAGAUAUAUGUCAAAUCCAAAGAAAUAGCAUUAGAAAGCUGUGAAGUGGCUUCUGAGAUACUUGAAAGGGAUAGCUAGUACAUCACUUUGUUAUGGGAAUGACAAGGUAGUAUUAGAGGGUUUCUGUUGAUGCUAAUCUUAGUGGAGAUAUGGAUAUAAGCAAAAGAGCAUCCGGGUAUGUCUACACUAUAAAUGGGAUAGCAGUGGGCUGAAUGUCUAAACUUCAGAAGUGUGUCUCUAUGUCAUCUACAGAGGUUGAAUAUGUUGCAAUUGCUAAAAUUGGUAAGGAGAUGAUAUAGUUGACUGAUUACUUGAAAAAGUUGAGCAAUAAGCAACUUGACAAGGGAUAUAGUUAGUGAAGAACCCGGUGUAUCACUUCAGAAUAAAAUAAAUUCAAUGUAGGUACCAUUUCACUCGUAGUCUGGUUGAAGAAGGUGAGAUGUGCUUGAAAAAAAUUGAAGGUACUAAGAAUCCAGCAGACAUGUUGACAAAAGGUAUUGAUACUGGGAAGCUGGGGCUGUGCAAGGCCUCAGUUGGUCUUCUACAAUAGUAUGGAAGAUAUUUGCAGCUAGGGUCUUUUUUAUUGAACACAUCGGCAUGGAAAAUAAAAAUGGUUGGAUUGACUAGAUUAGUCUUUAAGUGGGAGAAUUGUUAAGAUAUAUGGAGCCUAAUGAUAUAUUAUGUACGUACACCAUAUCAUGAAGGCGGGGUUCGGGGGCUCAAAGCGAAUUUUUUUUAGGGCUAUUUUAUUUUUUUGUAUUAUUCAUGGGCAUAUAAAUAUAUAAUAUUCUCCUAGUGUGUUUUGUUCGAUAACUCAUAGAAAAAUAAGAAAACCCUAAGCAUCAUGGACAUAGCCAAAUUGAUGAAUCACGUUAAAUCUGUGUGUUGAUUUCUUUUCUUGCUCUUUUUUUUUUUAUUUUGUAACUGUUCAUUCUUAACAUUGGAUUAAUAAAUAUUGUGAAUAAAUUCUUAAAUGAGAUGGAAAAAUAUUCUUGGACAUUAAUCCUUAGUGUGAUAAAAAUCAGCAUGAGAAAAAUUUAGAAAAUUUUUUAAUUUACUUGUAUAUAUGGGCUCGCUGUUUUUAAAUUAAUAUUAGUACAAGAUUGUUGAGUUAUUUAAUGAUGCUAAUAAUUGCUUGAUGGGGGUGGGAGAACAUCUUGGUUAUGUUCACUUAUAAUGGCCGAAAUUAUGGGGGGAAUUAGUGAGUUUUGAUUUUCUCUUGCUUUUGUGCCAAAUAUUUUCUUUUUCUUUUUCUCGGAUGUGUUUUUAAGUGUUGAAAUAUAUCUAGAAUCAAAUUUAGUUGUAAAGGAGGAAUUCUUUUACUUAAGCCGAAGAAAUGGAGAAAUAAAGUUUAGUUGAGUAAACCAAUUGAUAAAUUUACUCAAAUCAGUUUAAUGGACAAAGGUUGGAAAUGAUUCUUAACUCAUAUAUUUAAGAAAUAACCAUGUGUUAAUUAUGAGCGUUGUAAUAAAAUAUUGAAAUGAGAAUUGGAAAAAUAUUUAUGUCACCUUAUGAUUCGGCUAUGGAGCCUUACCAACGUGGUUGAAAUUGGGCAUUAAAUGCCCUAUAGACUUGGUCUUUGGAUCCUAUAAUGUUGGCUUAAAUGCUCUAUAGACUUGAUCUUUGAAUGCUAUAAUGUUUGCUUAAAUGCUCUAUAAAUUUGGUCUUUGGAUCCUAUAGUAUUGACUUAAAUGCCCUAUAGACUGUCUUUGAAUCCUAUAGUGUUGGCUUAAAUGCCCUAUAAAUAUGGUCUUUGGACCCUAUAGUGUUGGUGACUCGCGGUUGUCGAAACCGGUCAAAAAUAACCUUUCUAGUUAUCAACAAUUUACAACUGCAGAUAGUGGUGAAAGGAUCGAAUCCACAGAGAAUUGAAUACUUACCUAUUUUUCUUAUCAAGACCAAGAGAAUUAACUGAAACAAAAAUAAACUGAAACAAAAAUAAAAAUGAAAGAGAAAUAAACUGAAAGCAAAUAUAACUGAAAGAGAAAUAAACUGAAACGAGAUAAAAUUGAAAGCAAAAAUAACUGAAACGAGAUAAAACUAAAACAAGAUAAAACUGAAAGCAAAAAUAACUGAAACGAGAUAAAUCUGAAACCAAAAAUAAACUGAAAGUAAAAUGGGGGGUUUUGAAAUUGAUUCAAUUAAACAACUACUGAAAAUCUUUAACGACCCGAAAACCGGACCGCUACCGGCGCUAGGAUCCAGAUCGGCAUAAGGCCGUCGGGACCCAUAGCAAGCCUGACAUACAUUCUGUAUAACUGUUAAAUCCCAUACAUGAUCAUACAUAUACAUAAAACUUUAAACUUUUUCUUUCAUUUACCAAGCUUAACCUGUGCAUGCACAAACUCAUAAACAUAGAACCCCACACUGGAGCCCUCAUCAAAUGCUCCAAUAGGGCAACAUAUCAUACAUUAAGCUUGGCUUACAUAAAUCAUCAUUAAAACUAUAAUACUCGGCUAGACCCCGGCAUCGGAAUUUCAAUUUUCCGGCGGAAUCUUCGCUGGAAUCCGGAAAUCUCGGAUGUCAGAACCUUCUAGAAGGGUAAAAUAAAGGUUUUCUAAAAUGUUUUUAAGUGUUUUGAAGGUUUACAAUGAGAAAGAAAUUGAGUUUUGAAAGAAAAGACCAAGGAGGGAAGAACCCAGGUUCGGCCGCCGAACCUCAAGUUCGGCCGCCGAACAUGGGGCUGUUUAGGAGGCACGUUAGGCUUCUGAAAGUGGCUUUCUUUCGGCCGCCGAACGUGGUGAGGUUUUGGAAACAGCUUUGGUCGCCGAAGGAGGUUUGGCCGACCACCUAUAAAAGGCCCUGUGUCCGGAAAAUGGGCGAGUUUUCUCUCUCUUUUCAGGCAUAGGUGAGUUCAUGCUCUCCUUUGGUUAUUUUUAUGCUUUUUCUUCAAAUCCCUCAAGUUUUCAUGAGUUUCAUCUUUGUUUUGAAGAGUUUUAAGCUUUAAUUAAGGUUUUGAGAGCUUGGAGACUUUUGGAGCUUGGACUCUCUAUACCUUCAAGCUUGGAUCGCACCAAACCUCGAUCUUCAAGAGGUAAGUGUAGAUCCUCAUCUUUUGCAAUGUUUCAAGUAAGUUUUAUGAAGGUUUUGAGGGGUUUAGGGGGGUAGAGAUGCAUGUUUAAGCUAGAAGUAAAAAUGUUAGGGUUAUGUGAGUUAUGAGGUAUUGUGUGUUGUUAUGCAUGUUUAAUGUGAUGUUUGUUGGGGUUUAGGCUAGUUUGAGACCCCUAUAUGUUUAUAUACAUGUUUAUGCAUGCUUGUGAGUGUUGUAGUUGAGUUUGGAAAGUUUGGAAGGUUUUUGUGCAUGUAAGGGCUGAGUUCUGCCACUUUUGGAAGAACUCAGGUUCGGCAGCCGAAGGCACUUUCGGCCGCCGAACCUGCCUGUGGUGGCUUGUUUUGGCUGCCGAACCCUGCCCCUGAAAGUUGGACUUUCGGCUCUGGAGGGGAGUUUCGGCCACCGAAGGUGCCGCCGAACAUGCAUGAGUUUCGGCUCUGGAACCACUUUCGGCCGCCGAAGGUGCCGCCAAAAGUGGCUGAGUUUUGGCUCUGGAGGGACUUUCGGCCGCCGAACCUGCCGCCGAAAGUGCCCUGUUCAGCCUUCUUUUACAUGAUUUCUAUGAUUGUUUUAUGACAUUUUAGGGGGUUUUUGGGGAGUUGUUUAGAGUCCUGUUAGAGUAUGUUUGGUCCCUCAUUUGAGUCCACCUAUGUAGGAUCGGACUUGAGGAACCGAGGUGUUCGGCAGUGUUAGCUGCUCCAGAGUUAGUCCAGAGGUAGCCGGAGGUGAGUAGAACUGAACUCUAUGUUUAACAAAUAAAUCAAAUGUUUUAAGCAUGUUCAUGCAUCAUGAAUACCAUGUUAUGUAAUAGGUUGUUUGCAUUAGAAUUCACGAAUAUGAUGCAUUGCAUAAUACGAUGAUGAUGAUGUGGAUGAAUAUUGAAUGAUCCUCUAGCCCUCUGUACGAUAUGAUAUGACAUGAGAUGGAAAGACCAGGCAUUGCUGUAUCGCCCCUUGCAAUAUGCUAUAUGUCAGGUUGCAUGGGGCUCCUGUUUCAAUAGUGUCUGAUAGAGGACCCCAGUUCACCUUCAGGUUUUUGCGGAGUCUGCAGAAUGCUAUGGGCACCAGGUUAGAUUUCAGCACUGCUUUCUAUCCUCAGACGGACGGACAAUCAGAGAGGACCAUCCAGACGACAGAAGAUAUGCUCAGAAUGUGUGUGCUAGAUUUUGGCGGUUCUUGGAGGCAGCAUCUACCUUUGGUGGAGUUUGCCUACAAUAACAGCUAUCAUGCUAGCAUAGGGAUGGCUCCAUAUGAAGCUUUUUAUGGAAGGAAGUGCAGGUCGCCUGUCUGUUGGGAGGAAGUUGGAGAAAGGGCCUUGGCAGGGCCUGAACUAGUAGAGAUCACCAGCAUAGUAGUGCCCAUAAUCAAAGAAAUGAUCAAAACUGCUAUGAGCAGGCAAAAGAGCUGUGCAGAUAUCUGCAGAAGACAAGUAGAGUUUCAGGAGGGAGAUUUGGUGUUGCUCAAGGUGUCUCCUAUGAAAGGGGUGAUUCGAUUUGGGAAGAUGGGUAAGUUAGCUCCACGGUACAUCGGACCCUUUGAGAUUUUGCAAAAGGUCGGGAAUGUAUCGUACAAGUUGGACUUGCCUGCUUCCAUGGAGAGAAUCCAUCCAGUUUUCCAUGUUUCCAUGUUACGGAAAUUCGCGUCAGAUCCGGGCAAGGUUCUUAGUGAACCUGAUGUGGAGAUCCUAGAAGAUCUCACCUAUGUUGAGCAGCCAGUACGGAUCCUAGACACCCAGAUCAAAAAGCUAAGGAACAAGGAAAUCCCGAUAGUGAAAGUCCUUUGGAAUCACCACAACAUCGAAGAGUGUACCUGGGAGACACGGGAGUCUUUGCUCCAGCAAUAUCCUUAUCUCUUCUAAGGUGAGUGUUAUGUGCUUUGUAUGUAUGUUUAUGUUUUAUGCUAUGUAUGCUUGUUUGGUGAACAUUCGGGGACAAAUGUUCUUAAGGGGGGGAGAAUGUAAUACCCGGCUAGACUCCGGUAUCGGAAUUCCUACCGCCCAGUGGAAUCUCGAAUGUCGGAAACCUCUAGAAGGGUAAAAACAUGUUUUUAUAAAAUGUUUUCAUGUAUUUUAUGGUUUUAAGUAAGAAAGAAAUUGAGUUUUGAAUGAAAAAGACCAUAGAGG